UCUGACUUAACAGUUGGUUUUCUGUUUUGGUAAUUUGUCGUCUUAUUAUGUCCUGUUGGGUUUUUUUCUGAAUGUGUUUUUACAUGUAUGAAUGUCUAUAUUUCAAUUUUAUACUGUUUGAAGAAAAUUGGAGCGUAAUGUGAGAAUGUGUAUAUUUCAAUUGUAUACUGUUUCUGAAAAUUGGUCAUUCUUUUAAGAAAAAUUUUAUAUACGGAAGUACUACUUAAGAAUGAAAUAGGCAUAAGGUUAAUAG
rnacentral:misc_RNA from 1 species